rnacentral:rRNA from 1 species
UUUAUUGAAACUUCGGUCGAUUUAAUUUAAUUCUAGUGGCGGACGGGUGAGUAACGCGUGGGUAACCUGCCUUAUACAGGGGGAUAACAGUCAGAAAUGGCUGCUAAUACCGCAUAAGCGCACAGCAUCGCAUGAUGCAGUGUGAAAAACUCCGGUGGUAUAAGAUGGACCCGCGUUGGAUUAGCUAGUUGGUGAGGUAACGGCCCACCAAGGCGACGAUCCAUAGCCGACCUGAGAGGGUGACCGGCCACAUUGGGACUGAGACACGGCCCAAACUCC